AUGCGCACCCCUUGGAGUUUCAGCAUUCUGAUACAGGAAACCGACCUCCAUGUCCUUCCUAUGCCAAUCGGACUGACGAAGCACUUUAAGGGCUUCGCUGGGCGUCUGGCUAAACUAAUAACAACAAAAACUUGUGCUUGUCAUUGGAACGUAUGGAUGGAGAUCUGGAAUCAGCAAUUCAUCCUCGGAGAUGGCUGGCGGGAAGUGCUCCUGGCGAACACGAUACGUGUAGCGGAUAUUAUUACCUUCUCUGUCCAAGCGAAGUUGGAGAUGCAGCCCAUGAUGUACCUCGCAAUGGACUCGAUGGAGAAGAUUAUCAAGUGCCAUCAACAUCAUCAGGAUAGGACACUCCCAUUUCAAGAAGGAGGCAAAGAUUUUCGUGAAGGUCAUGCUUCCGGGGAGUGA
rnacentral:rRNA from 1 species